rnacentral:rRNA from 1 species
UUUGAUCCUGGCUCAGGACGAACGCUGGCGGCGUGCCUAACACAUGCAAGUCGAACGAGGUCCAUCCAGUGGCAACACUGGGGACGACCUAGUGGCGAACGGGUGAGUAACACGUGAGGAACUUGCCCCGGAGACCGGGAUAGCCCUCCGAAAGGAGGGCUAAUACCGGAUGUCCCCACCGAGUCGCAUGGCUUGGUGAGGAAAUGGAUUCCGCUCCGGGAGAGCCUCGCGGCCUAUCAGCUAGUUGGUGGGGUAACGGCCCACCAAGGCAUCGACGGGUAGCUGGUCUGAGAGGACGAUCAACCACACUGGGACUGAGACACGGCCCAGACUCUUACGGGAGGCAGCGGUGGGGAAUCUUGCGCAAUGGGCGAAAGCCUGACGCAGCAACGCCGCGUGCGGGAUGAAGGCCCUCGGGUUGUAAACCGCUUUCAGUGGGGACGAACCAAGACGGUACCCACAGAAGAAGCCCCGGCCAACUACGUGCCAGCAGCCGCGGUAACACGUAGGGGGCGAGCGUUGUCCGGAUUCAUUGGGCGUAAAGAGCUCGUAGGCGGUUCGGUAAGUCGGGUGUGAAACCUCCGGGCUCAACCUGGAGACGCCACCCGAUACUGCUGUGACUAGAGUCCAGUAGGGGAGCGUGGAAUUCCUGGUGUAGCGGUGAAAUGCGCAGAUAUCAGGAGGAACACCAGUGGCGAAGGCGGCGCUCUGGGCUGGAACUGACGCUGAGGAGCGAAAGCGUGGGGAGCGAACAGGAUUAGAUACCCUGGUAGUCCACGCCGUAAACGUUGGGUACUAGGUGUGGGGUCUUAUCAACGGAUUCCGUGCCGAAGCUAACGCAUUAAGUACCCCGCCUGGGGAGUACGGCCGCAAGGCUAAAACUCAAAGG